rnacentral:rRNA from 1 species
UACAGAGGGGGCAAGCGUUGUUCGGAAUUACUGGGCGUAAAGGGCGCGUAGGCGGCCUUCUAAGUCGAACGUGAAAUCCCCGGGCUCAACCCGGGAACUGCGUCCGAUACUGGAAGGCUUGAAUCCGGGAGAGGGAUGUGGAAUUCCAGGUGUAGCGGUGAAAUGCGUAGAUAUCUGGAGGAACACCGGUGGCGAAGGCGACAUCCUGGACAGGUAUUGACGCUGAGGCGCGAAAGCCAGGGGAGCAAACGGG